rnacentral:rRNA from 1 species
UACGAAGGGGGCUAGCGCUGUUCGGAAUCACUGGGCGUAAAGCGCACGCAGGCGGAUCGGUAAGUCGGGGGUGAAAGCACGGGGCUCAACCUCGGAACUGCCUUCGAUACUGUCGGUCUCGAGUCCGGGAGAGGUGAGUGGAAUUCCUAGUGUAGAGGUGAAAUUCGUAGAUAUUAGGAAGAACACCAGUGGCGAAGGCGGCUCACUGGCCCGGUACUGACGCUCAGGUGCGAAAGCGUGGGGAGCAAACAGG